rnacentral:rRNA from 1 species
CAUAGGUCAAGCUACAAAGGGCGUAUGGUGAAUGCCUUGGCAUCAGGAGCCGAUGAAGGACGUGAUAAGCUGCGAUAAGCUUCGGGUAGACGCACAUAGUCUGAGAUCCGAAGAUUUCCGAAUGAGGA